rnacentral:rRNA from 1 species
AGUGAACGCUGGCGGCAGGCCUAACACAUGCAAGUCGAGCGGCAGCGCGGGGGCAACCCUGGCGGCGAGCGGCGGACGGGUGAGGAAUUCGUCGGAAUCUGCCUUUUUGUGGGGGAUAACGUAAGGAAACUUACGCUAAUACCGCAUACGACCUACGGGUGAAAGUGGGGGACCGCAAGGCCUCACGCAGAAAGAUGAGCCGACGACCGAUUAGCGAGUUGGUAGGGUAAAGGCCUACCAAGGCGACGAUCGGUAGCUGGUCUGAGAGGAUGAUCAGCCACACUGGGACUGAGACACGGCCCAGACUCCUACGGGAGGCAGCAGUGGGGAAUAUUGGACAAUGGGCGCAAGCCUGAUCCAGCCAUGCCGCGUGUGUGAAGAAGGCCUUCGGGUUGUAAAGCACUUUUGUCCGGAAAGAAAUCUUCCAACUUAAUACGUUGGGAGGAUGACGGUACCGGAAGAAUAAGCACCGGCUAACUUCGUGCCAGCAGCCGCCGUAA